UUUAAACUAUAGUACAUUCUUUAAAAAAGUUAAAAAAAAUUAAAGGUGUGUGAUUUUAUUCCAAUUUCCAUAGGAAGGCUAUAUUCCUGAGGCAAUUCCGAAAUAUAGCUUCCCUAUCCUUUAAAGUGUAUGCAUAUGAAUGUAAGUUCUUGAUCGGAAUGGAGGCCACCAUAGCAAAGAGGUUGGCAUGUGCGCCUGGCAUGAACAUCAGAAAAGUUUUUCCGCGGUGGUAAUCCCCUCCUAAUGCUGGCGGCCUUUAUGACGUACUAUCCCUUGUAAAAAAAAUUCUCCCUUAAAAGCUACUGCGACUCGGCUAUAAAAAAUGGUUGCAAUGAUUUCAAUUAUUUAUGAAUAUAAUUGUUUAUUCUCGGUUGACUUGGUUCAAAAGGAGGUCAGACAAGAUUAUUCUGAGCGUUUUCCCAUUAAAAAUUUUCUUAGAGUUUAAUGUUUAAAUGUCUAUAA